rnacentral:rRNA from 1 species
AUCGAUGAAGAACGCAGCAAAGUGCGAUAAGCAAUGCGAAUUGCAGAAUUCCGCGAAUCAUCAGAUCCUUGAACGCAACUGGCGCUAGGGGGCUCUCCCCCUAGCAUGUCUGUUUCAGUGUCUGAAAACAUCACAUCUAACUUAAUGUGGUUGAUGAUGUAGUAGGUUUAUACCUCUAUCUAAUCUUCCAUUAAAGAUGUAUGUGUGGGUCUUUGAACCCCUCAUUGAAUUGGUCAUCGGUUUUAUCGGUGAUUUCAAUAGGGAUUGUCUCAAUUACCUAAAUACACAUAGAAACUUUAUACCAUCAAACUCUGCAUCUGAAAUCAGGCAAGAACACCCGCUGAACUUAAGCAUAUUACUAAGCGGAGGAAAAGAAAUCAACGAAGAUUGCCUCAGUAGCGGCGAGUGAAGCGGCAAUAGCUCAAGUUUAGAAUCUGUGGCUGUAUCAGUCACCGAAUUGUAAUCUAAAGGGGCUAACAAAAGGGGAUUUGGAAGCAUAAGUUCCUUGGAACAGGACAUCAUAGAGGGUGAAAAUCCCGUAUGUAGCUUCCAUUGAACCGAAUGUUAACUUACUAAGAGUCGGGUUGUUUGGGAUUGCAGCCCUAAAUGGGAGAUAAACUUCUUCUAAGGCUAAAUAUCUAUGGGAAACCGAUAGCGAACAAGUACUGUGAAGGAAAGGUGAAAAGAACUUUGAAAAGAGGGUUAAAAGACUUGAAAUCGUUGAGAAGGAAGCAGUAAAAGUGGAUUUAUGUUAGCUAUGAAGCAACCUAUGUGAGGAACCAGCUCGUAGUAGUUAUGUACGUCAUUGGCUACCUGCUACGAUGUAAUGGCACUCUAUGGGGAUUUCAUAGUUAAAGGGCAGAACCAGGUCUUAUUUUGCUGGAGUCAGUUGAGAGAAAGCCCACUCCUCGGAGUGAAUCUCUCUUCAAAACAGUAAGCUGGCCUGAGGAAAAGGUUCUGUCACAACGGCUUUUACUGACCCGUCUUGAAACACG